rnacentral:rRNA from 1 species
AUUGAACGCUGGCGGCAGGCCUAACACAUGCAAGUCGAACGGCAGCACAGAAGAGCUUGCUCUUUGGGUGGCGAGUGGCGGACGGGUGAGUAAUGUCUGGGAAACUGCCCGAUGGAGGGGGAUAACUACUGGAAACGGUAGCUAAUACCGCAUAACGUCGCAAGACCAAAGUGGGGGACCUUCGGGCCUCACACCAUCGGAUGUGCCCGGAUGGGAUUAGCUAGUAGGUGGGGUAAUGGCUCACCUAGGCGACGAUCCCUAGCUGGUCUGAGAGGAUGACCAGCCACACUGGAACUGAGACACGGUCCAGACUCCGACGGGAGGCAGCAGUGGGGAAUAUUGCACAAUGGGCGCAAGCCUGAUGCAGCCAUGCCGCGUGUAUGAAGAAGGCCUUCGGGUUGUAAAGUACUUUCAGCGGGGAGGAAGGCGGUGAGGUUAAUAACCUCGCCGAUUGACGUUACCCGCAGAAGAAGCACCGGCUAACUCCGUGCCAGCAGCCGCGGUAA